rnacentral:lncRNA from 1 species
CACUUGGUGAGAGUCUUCACGGACCACAGUGUUGCACGAGGUGAUUGUGUUUGCAGAGGUUUUUUUGUCCUUGAAGAGCACUUAGGGCUGGAGAGCAAGACACAUGCUGACGAGCAGAAGCUGACAGGCUUGCUGCCAUGUGGGAAAGUCCUUGGACGAGUUGUCUGCUUGCGGAGAGGUGUCUGCGGCUCAGAUUUGUGGGAAG